UCCCUAGUAGCUUAGACCGAAAGCAUCUGCUUGCAAUGCAGGAGACCUGGGUUCGAUCUCUCGGUUGGGAAG
rnacentral:tRNA from 1 species